rnacentral:rRNA from 1 species
GACAGAGGAUGCAAGCGUUAUCCGGAAUGAUUGGGCGUAAAGCGUCUGUAGGUGGCUUUUCAAGUCCGCCGUCAAAUCCCAGGGCUCAACCCUGGACAGGCGGUGGAAGCUGCCAAGCUGGAGUACGGUAGGGGCAGAGGGAAUUUCCGGUGGAGCGGUGAAAUGCGUAGAGAUCGGAAAGAACACCAACGGCGAAAGCACUCUGCUGGGUCGACACUGACACUGAGAGACGAAAGCUAGGGGAGCGAAUGGG